rnacentral:rRNA from 1 species
UACGGAGAGUGCAAGCGUUGUUCGGAAUUAUUGGGCGUAAAGCGCGUGUAGGCGGCCUGACAAGUCUGGCGUGAAAGCCUGGAGCUCAACUCCAGAAGUGCGCUGGAAACUGUUGGGCUUGAGUACCGGAGGGGAAGGUGGAAUUCUCGAGUGUAGAGGUGAAAUUCGUAGAUAUUCGGAAGAACAUCAGUGGCGAAGGCGGCCUUCUGGACGGAUACUGACGCUGAGACGCGAAAGCGUGGGGAGCAAACAGG